rnacentral:rRNA from 1 species
GACGAACGCUGGCGGCGUGCUUAACACAUGCAAGUCGAACGGAAAGGCCCUGCUUUUGUGUGGUGCUCGAGUGGCGAACGGGCGAGUAACACGUGAGUAACCUGCCCUUGACUUUGGGAUAACUUCAGGAAACUGGGGCUAAUACCGGAUAGGAGCUCCUGCUGCAUGGUGGGGGUUGGAAAGUUUCGGCGGUUGGGGAUGGACUCGCGGCUUAUCAGCUUGUUGGUGGGGUAGUGGCUUACCAAGGCUUUGACGGGUAGCCGGCCUGAGAGGGUGACCGGCCACAUUGGGACUGAGAUACGGCCCAGACUCCUACGGGAGGCAGCAGUGGGGAAUAUUGCACAAUGGGCGGAAGCCUGAUGCAGCAACGCCGCGUGCGGGAUGACGGCCUUCGGGUUGUAAACCGCUUUCGCCUGUGACGAAGCGUGAGUGACGGUAAUGGGUAAAGAAGCACCGGCUAACUACGUG